GUAUGAUUAACCAAAGGAGGGCAAACAGCCAUCUCGAGGGCUCCCACCCAGCCCACCCCAAGGAGCCUGGGUACUCUGGCCCAGCAUUCCCGGCUGUGUGACCUUGGGACCAGAGGUGCCCUCGCCCACUGGGCGUGUGGGGCAGGACGCGUGGAGGCGGCAGCCUCUCUGUGAGCUCAUUCUUAGGGUGUUUUUGUUGGGAACCAGUCAGACCACUGGGGGUGGGGUGGGGCAGGAGGAGAGGGCCAAGGGGCUGGGGUGCUGGAAGCAGAGGCCUCUAGACUGGGGAGGUCAGGAAGGGGGGCCCCGUGUGGUGGCUCCCGGAGCCCGAGGACCUGACAGACCCAGAGGAAACAGGCUCCACCCUCCACUGCAGACAUGCUCAGCCAGCCCAAGGCAUGCUGGGUCAAACGUGAGGCAGGCGUGGCCCAUGGAUGUCACAUUGGCCAUGUGACAGAUGAGGGUCUGAGGCCCAGAUGGUAAUGGAUGGGGGGGGUUCACAUGUGGGACUUCGUGGGGUUGUAUAUGGGUGACAAGGUCAAUGACACAUCUGGUGACGAUGCCUCUGGGGCCCUCACAUACAUACACACACCCCUCUCAGAAAUACAGCGUAAUACACAUUGUCCUCUCAGAAAUGACACACACACAUACUUUCUCUUAAAAAUACAACUCAGCACACCCUCACGCACAUCCACAUUUUCCUUUCAAAAUAUUGAUACAACCUAAUGCAACACACUAAGGCACGCACACAAGUACAUUCUUCUUUUGGAAAUAACACAUACACAGUCUCCUCUGCGAAGUACAACUCAACACACAGGUAUACUUUCCCUUCAGAAAUAAAAGCCAGACAUAGAAAACAAAUUUACGGUUACCAAAGGGGAAAAGGGGAGGGGAGGGGUAAAUUAGGGGUUUGGGAUUAACAUAUACAUAUAUAAAAUCGAUAACCGACAAGGACCUACUGUGUAUACAGGGAACUAUACUCAAUAUCCUGUAAUAACUUAUAAUGGAAAAGAUUGUGAAAUAUAUAUAUAUAUAUAUAAUACAACGGAAUCACUUUGCUGUAUACCUGAAACUAACACAACAUUGUAAACCAACUAUGCUUCAAUAAAAAUUU
rnacentral:lncRNA from 1 species